rnacentral:rRNA from 1 species
UGGGGAAUUUUUCGCAAUGGGGGCAACCCUGACGAAGCAAUGCCGCGUGGAUGAUGAAGUAUUUCGGUACGUAAAAUCCUUUCGACGGGGACGAAACCGCAAGGUUGACGGUACCCGUAGAAGAAGCCCCGGCUAACUCCGUGCCAGCAGCCGCGGUAAUACGGGGGGGGCAAGCGUUGUUCGGAAUUACUGGGCGUAAAGGGUGCGUAGGCGGCUUUCUAAGUUGGAUGUGAAAACUAUGGGCUCAACCCAUAGCCUGCAUCCAAAACUGGAGAGCUUGGGUUCUGGAGGGGAAAGCGGAAUUCCUGGUGUAGCGGUGAAAUGCGUAGAUAUCAGGAGGAACACCGGUGGCGAAGGCGGCUUUCUGGACAGAUACCGACGCUGAGGCACGAAAGCUAGGGGAGCAAACAGG